CCAUGGAAUCUAUCCCAUGGCAGUUUCACACAUUUCAAUGCAGGCGAAAGUAAGUUAGCAUGUGGACAUAACUGAGGUUAACCUAGAAUUUGGCUCCCAUCCCACAAGAAGCAAAGAAGGGCAGGCAGGCCCCUUUCGCAUUUCAAAAAUUUGCUACCAUGACUGGCUAGAUUUCCAAGUAUAAUGAUGAUCAUUGGCUCUCCAGGCUUCUCCUGACCCACUUCAUUAGUUGCAUACUGUGCUUAGUCUAAAAUUGACGUCAUUUGAUUGGACUGCUCUAUCAAUCAAUAACAGCAUUUUGUAAAAUACAGUACUGGCGAAAAAAACAACAACAACAACUACAGGUCAAAGAAUGAGAAGUGAUUUUCGGCAGUUACUCUGGGUCUGCAUGAGGCAGAGAGAGAGAGAGUUAUAGCUACAAUAUCAAUGUUAUGCGAGAGAAGAGAGACAUUUACAGAAAAAGAAAGUGAGCAACUGAAGUAUGGAAAGAUAGGAAAUAAGAAAACUAAACAUCUCUGAGGCAGUUUAGGGUGCAAUUUAAAAUCUGCAGAAGUGGUACAAGAUGGCAGAAGGAUAAGAUAACCACCUUCUAAUAAAGGAUUUGAUUUUUAAUGUGGUGAGUAGUGUGGCUCCAAAGAGUGGUGGUUUUUUUUUUAAUUGGGUUGCCCACUGGAGGAAGGAAAGAGAAGGAAGAAGCAGGCUAUGGAUGUUUAAAACCAACUGGAACUAUUAAGAUCAUGCGUGAGGCUGCUGUUCCAUGGGCAGAACCAGAGAGUUCCACUGUGGGAAACCUGCAGCACUUUGCUGGCUGCCCCCACUAGCAACUGUCAUCGUGGAAAUCGGCAGCAAGCUGCCACGGAAGAAGCCUGAGCAAAUUAAAAAAGAAACAAGAAAGAUCGGGAGUUGGUCUUUUUUUGCAAUGGAAUGUAUAAACAUCCACUUUUUGUUGGGGUGAUGAAUAGGAAUACAAAUCUUCUGUAUACGACAGACCGAUUCAAGGAAAAUUAUUGUGAUAUCAAAAUGUAAGUGAAAAAAUAAUGCAAAUCUUUCUAGAAUACCACAAUGACUAUUAGUACUUCUUCUCUGGUGGAACUGACAUUAAACCCCCGCUUGUAUUGACAGACUAGAUCUCCAAAGAGCACCUGACUACCAUCCCCCUCAAAGUACUGUAGUAACCCUGAGGGGCCAGUACUAUUUUUGAUACUAUUAUUCACAAGCCCCCAUUAGUGUGCUUUCCACUGAUUAUCAGCCAUAGUCAUUUCCUAAGGUGGCAUAGUAC
rnacentral:lncRNA from 1 species